rnacentral:rRNA from 1 species
UACGUAGGGUGCAAGCGUUAAUCGGAAUUACUGGGCGUAAAGCGCACGUAGGCGGAUUGUUAAGUCAGGGGUGAAAUCCCGAGGCUCAACCUCGGAACUGCCUUUGAUACUGGCAAUCUCGAGUCCGGAAGAGGUGAGUGGAAUUCCUAGUGUAGAGGUGAAAUUCGUAGAUAUUAGGAAGAACACCAGUGGCGAAGGCGGCUCACUGGUCCGGUACUGACGCUGAGGUGCGAAAGCGUGGGGAGCAAACAGG